UCGGCUCUACUUGACAUUGACAGCUGAUUAAAAUUUCUGAAGAAAGAAAACAAACAACAAACAGUCUUGUUGAUAAAAAUAUUGCAAACAAAGGAGCUAGAAAUUCUUAUUGAAAAGAAACCAACAAUCUGUGGAUCCGCUGUAACCCGUUUAAAAUUACUUAGUUGAUUAAAUAAGCAUGGAAUCCAAGAAUCUUUUCCAAAGGGGAAAUACAUUGCAAGUAAGAUUGGGUGUAACCAACUACAAUACACCAUUUGCAGCCAAAACUAGCCCAGAAUAUAUCAUAAGUGGUUCAGCAAUAUUCCAAGUAAAAGUAAUUGCUGCCCAGGUUAACAACGGCCACACGAAUGUGUACAAUAAUCUUCUGUUUGUUAGGUUUGUCAAACUACGUCAAGACGAUGACUUGACAUAUGCGAUCAAAUUUAGCAGCAACGAGUUAGGAAUUACCAAUAAAAGUUUCAUUACUGAUGAUGGGACGUGGCAUCUGAUUUAUGAUAAUAAGAAGCAGCAGUAUUCCUUUGAUGUAACUGUCAGCAUGGAUAUAGUUCCAAGUGCAAGUUCUUUUGCAUCACUGCAUGAGGAUUUAGAGCUGACUGACUUUGAGUUGAGAGGAGAAGAUGGUUCAGUGCACAUGCACCGAGCAGUCCUGGCAGCUUCAAGUCCCGUUCUCAGACGAAUGCUUGGUGGGACGUGGCGUGAGAGCACAGAGGGACAUGUGGAAGUCCCGGGCACCUCUAAAAUGACGUUACAACACCUCAAAGAUUAUGUGUACUUACAUACUUUACCUGAAACGGGACUAGAGCAACUUUUGCUGCUGGCAUCGUAUUACAUGAUGCCUGACUUGGAACAGAAGUGUGUUGAUAAACUUGUGAAUAGUUUGACUGCGGAGAAUGCAUGCGAUCUUCUAGAGUUUGCAGCUAAACACAAAGUCACAAGGCUAUUAUUGGCGAUUUUAGAAUGUGUCCAAAGUGGGGCUGUAAAAGUAAACGAAAUGCGUGACCAUUUCCUUCGGUGUAAAUGAGUAGCAUUAGUCUUCAUAAAUUUUGGAUAAAAUUAGGUAUAUCUAAAAGAAACAUAACGAAUUUGUUAGUUGGCUAAAUAAGAUAUUUCUAUUUUAAUAUGUAAAAAACAUUAUAAAUGUUUAAAUGAAAGGUGCAUGAUCACCACUAAAGUCUGAAAAUCUGGCACUUAUAUCCAUUUAUUUGUUCAAUUAGUUUUAUUGUUUUAAAGAAAAUGACAUGAUUAAUAAAAUUAUCCUUCAUAACUUAAUCCAGUGAAAUGCCUUGGCAAGAUUGGAAUACCCAGUGAGUCCCAGUGUAUUUCAAAAUGAAUUUUUUCAUAAAAACCCACAAAAAGUAUUUGCUCUCUACUGAUAUUGUGAUAAAAUCUUGAAUAAUUCUGCCCUUGUUUGGUAAGUUUUAUUUUUUUAAAUUAGGCAUUGUAAUGAUUUUGCUUGCGGUUAGGGUAUUUUUGUAAAGUUUUAAAAUUUAUGCAGUUACAUCAUGUUUAUGUUAUUUGUAUUAUUAGUUGUACUAUUAUUGUUAAUCUAUUAUAAACAAAUAAAACAUACAUUUAUAGAAACAUG